GGGCCGAAAGAAGACGAAACUGGAGAAAAACAUUCAACUAUAAACGACUGAUUUUGGAGGCUGCAUUUGCUAAAUUGUAAGAUAUAUAUACACAUAUUGGCGGCUUAAAUUAGAGAAUUGAAGGGCUGAUAAGCUGCUGAAUUUAUAUACACACACACACACAUUAUAGGUGACAGUUUUGAGAGACUUAAGGGACAAGUGGACUGCCGGCUGGGGGCUGAAUUAUAUUGUAUAUAUACAUACUUUGGAGCUAGCAUCUUGUGAUCUAGAGAAUUAAAAAGGCUGGGAAUUGAAUCUUGUUCUCACACAAGUUGGGCAGAUUUGCGGCUGAAUUUAAGGAAGCUGGAAUUAAACUCUUCAAUCAAUAAAGUCGGCGGCCGUGGGUGCAACAUUGAGCUUUCAUCUUCAUAACAUCCAUUUUAUUAUUGAAGUGAUCCAAGGCGAAAUCAAUUGGUGAAUUCAUCCAUAACACCUUGUGAUCCGGCAACCAAUCUUUUGGGGGAAAAACAUCAAUCUUGUGAAGACAAAACACCGUGGUUCCUUCCUUUGAGGAACGAACUCUCUCAUUGGGGGGAUUGAGAGAGGUGGACAACACACGCAGGAACUGGACAAGAACAAGAGGUUAUUUGAAUUCCACUUGGUGAUGCAAUCAGCUAAAGACCAGGAGGCUGUAUUGGACAGCAGAUUGGAGUGCAGGAGGUAGAUCAAUAAGCUAGCAGGAGACUAGUAGUAUCUACGACAGUAGAUUGUGAGACUGGAACAGCGGGUCUGACUAGGUACGAAGUUUGGCAGAACUUAUACUUGCUAGAUUGGUAUAGUGGAAACUAUUGGCCUGGCCUCGGAGUUUUACCCACAUUGGGGUUUCUUAGUCAUCAAACAACUGUGUUCUUUAUAUUUCUGCAAUUUACUUAUUUCUAGUAAUUCAACGUAGGAUAGAAAAGCAUAUGAAUUGACUUGGACACAUUAGUAAUUGUGACUUGUUGCAUUUAUCAAUUAAUUUGUAAAAUUUCGUAUAAACACCUAUUCACCUCCCCACUAGGUGUUAUUUGGGUCAAACUACAUUACUUCAGUUUAUAACCUUAGAAUUAGAAUAUAUGUGUUGGAUUAUGGUUAUAAUCGUCACAGGUGAUUAGGAGUUAACAAACGGGGACAUAUUUGUGAAAAUGCUUUCUAUCAAUAAUUUCCUGUAUCUAUGCAAUUAUUCUUAUUUUGUAAUAUAAUCAAAAAUAACUUUUUUCUUUUCAUUUUUUA
rnacentral:lncRNA from 1 species